rnacentral:rRNA from 1 species
UACGUAGGGACCAAGCGUUGUUCGGAUUUACUGGGCGUAAAGGGCGCGUAGGCGGCAAUUCAAGUCAGUUGUGAAAUCUCCGAGCUUAACUCGGAACGGUCAACUGAUACUGCUUUGCUAGAGUACAGAAGGGGCAAUCGGAAUUCUUGGUGUAGCGGUGAAAUGCGUAGAUAUCAAGAGGAACACCUGAGGUGAAGACGGGUUGCUGGGCUGAUACUGACGCUGAGGCGCGAAAGCUAGGGUAGCAAACGGG